rnacentral:lncRNA from 1 species
UGGCUCCACAAAUACAAUUUGAAAUUCAAGUGAAAUUUGAAUUUCCCUCCAAUUUUGUGUGACUCUUAAGCUAUAAAUAAAGAUCAUGUGUGUACAUUUUUUAAAACUUUGAUCAUUUAAAAAUUAAACUUCAGAUUUCAAAGCUCUCUUAGAGUACAAAAUUUUGUGUUCUUCUCUCCUUCUCCCUUCAUUCAUCUUCUUCUUCCUCCAAGCUCUUUUCCAUGGCCUCCUAUGGUGGUGAGCUUCUUCUAGACUCAUGUUCUCCUUGGAGUGGUGUCUCCUCUCUCUCUUCCUUGUCCAUUUCGCUGCCAUUCAUCUUCCAAAAAACAAAGAAAUCCAUUAAUGAAGAAGAUCCUAGGCCUACAAGCUCCACAUGGAGCUUCAUCACAGAUGCUCAAAAGCGAAGCUACUAAACUCCAAUUUCGCAAUGCUCUGUUAUGUGCCCUAUCAGAAAAGGACUAUACCAUGUGGAACAUAACAUAUGAAAGGUCAAAAUUGUCAAACAUAACAAGCUCAUGUUGUUAACACGUAAGUAUGAAUUGUUUACUAUGAAGGAAGAGAAGAUGCAAGGUAUGUUUGAAUGCUUCCAAACUAUACUAAAUGAACUAAAAUCUCUUGGUAGAACUUAUGAUAACUAUGAUAACAUUGAAAAAUGUUGAGAAAUCGAUAAACGUCAAAUUUACCGUACUUUAGUAUACUUUAGGCUUUGUUUUGAAUCAAAUCCGUUAUGUUUUCAUUAUUUAAUGUAUUUUAGAUAUAAAUUAUGAUUUUGAAUUUUUACAGAGAAAUAGGAUAAUUUUACAAGGUAGGCUCGCUAAAGCGAGGUAUAAGCCGCUAUAAAAAUAUAUCUUUUAUUUUCUAUUUUGAUUAGUUUUAGUUCUAGGUAGUUUAAAAAUAUACAAACACAAAAAUAUCUUUAUCCAAAAGGUUUUUAAUUGAAUAUUCAUCCUUGCACUAUUCCCUUGAGACGACCUGAGCUUCGAUUUAGUACUAUAAUUGAAAUUCAGGUACACUUCGUCGAUGUAAAUCCUAACAGCAUUAACAAAAAUCUAUCCAAAAAGUGGAGAUUGCAUGACACGACUCUAAGAGUAGCAAAAAGUGUUUGAUUGAGUGUCCAUAAAAGAAUUGAUCUCCACAAUGAAAGUUCAUGAACAUGAAGUACAAGACAAGGGAAUAAAAAAAUGGAAAACUAUGGCCCUAAAUUGACAAAAGACCAAAAAGUCAUUAACAUCCAAAGAAUUCUUCUGUAGAUCAAUGUCCAGUAAAGCCUUUAAUGCAGACACAUCCUUUGAAGAUGGAUUUCAUGGAGAAAAAUCAAAUGAAGAUGAUCAACUAUCCUUCAUAUCCAAAAAGAUAAGGAAAAUGUGGAGAAAAAGUGUGAAAUCCAACUUCGUCCAAGAAGUCUUCUAGAGAUAGAGGACAAAGGGAAAAGCUUUGUCAUUUGUUAUGAGUGUAAGAAACCAAGAGAUGCCCGAAUGUGUAGAUCUAGAUAAUACAAAGGACAAGAAGAACUACUUUAAGAUGAAAGACAAAGAAGCUGCUUAUAAGCACAAGGGAAUACUUGGACGACACAUUGUCUGAUGAAGAAGCAAAUUUUUGCCUAAUGGAUGAUACAACAUCAGAAGAAUCUUAGUGAAAUUCAUAUGAGAAGGUAAAUCACAAUGACCCAAAAACUGUAAAAAUAGCUUACCAUGAACUUGUUUCCAACUCAUCCAUUCUAUCUAAAGCUUAGAAAAGCUUGAGAAAGGAUUUCAAAAACCUUUCCAAAGAUCAUACCAAGCUUAAAAGGCUUAUCACGAUAUCUAUUUUUCAACUGAACCUGAUGAAGACAAUAAAAUCUAUGAUACGUAAAAGGAAAAGGAGUCUAAACUUCUACUAGAAGACAAAAUUGUUCAAGAAAUAUUGGAACAAUUAAGAGCUAUUGGACUAAGAAACACUUCAACCACCUUAAGAGCUAUAAUAGUAUAGAGUUUUAGCAUUAUUUUAGGGCAUUAAGAGUAGUCUUUAUAGUAAGGACUUUUUUGUAUUUUCAUGUAUUUUGGCAAGAGGUAUGGUUAGCUAUUAGAGGGGUGUGAAUGUAAAACUUGUGAGACACACUUCAAAGUUCAAAUUCUCUCCCUCUUUCUCUCCUUCAAUUUCGUGACCCCCCCCCCCCCUUCUUUUCUCUUUCUGUCUCAUUUUUUUUCCUCCAUUGAAGUUUCCUUUCUAAGCUUCUUAUCCAAGGCACUCUCUUGAUGGUGAAGUUCUUCCUUCCAUGGCUUAUUCUCUAAUGAACAUCAUUAAAGCUCAAAGAUCCAACCUCCAUGGACAUGGGGGAAAUGUUUAUGUUCAUGAUGAGGAAACUAAUAUAUGUUAUUUCUAUGGAAAGACUGGAUACAUGACAUCGAAGUGUAGAAAUGUACUUAAGAUAAAAUAAUUCCUAUUACAAAUAUAUUCAACCAUCUUCAACCUCAACAAGGUUGUAGUACCUUGACAAUGGCUGCUUAGAUCACAUGAUAGAAGAAAAAUGUAUGUUCCAAUGUCUAACCUCCAUGCAUGUUGGAACAGUCACUUUUGAUGGGAAUCAAAAAGGAAAAAUAAUAGGAGUCAAUUUUGGUGGGAAUCAAAAAGGUAAAAUAAUAGGAAUGAGUAAUGAAAUUCUGAUACUGAGGACAGAUGUCGUACAGGAUGUCACGACAUCGCGCUUCAGAACAUGCAGAUUGUCUAUGACAGUAUGAACAGAUUAAACAAGUAAAUAACACAAGAGAAUUGUUAACCCAGUUCAGUGCAACGUCACCUACAUCUGGGGGCUACCAAGCCAGGGAGGAAGUCCACUAAAAUAGUAUUAGUUCGAAGAUCUAACAGCCACUGUAUACAACCUUCUCACCUAACCACUACCCAUGCAACUUCUACCUAAGAGCCACUCUUAGAUAUGAGAACCCCUCUCACUCCCUCUCAAUCACUCACCCGUGUUUACAAACAAAUCAAGAACACACCAGAGAUUGCUCUCUGAACAAUAGAGAUCAACUCUACACACUCAGGUCCAACACUUGAUGUUAGGGUAACAUCAAGGUGGCUCACAAAACACUCAAGUCACAAAACUCACAAAAUAACUCUUCAAUCUCUGACUUCAUUAAAAACCCGUGCAGCCUUCAUGUUUAUAUAGCAGUGUACGUAUCUGGGCUGCAACAACUUGCGCUGGAUAAGCUCUAUUAUUCUCCUGAAAAAUCUGCACUUAAAGAUCUAAAAGAUAAAGUUUUAUCUUUUAGUUUUUAUCUUCAAUCUCUAAUCCCUGAACGAAACUAUUCAAGUUUGUAAUUCAAUCUUUAAUUAUCUUUUAAUUCGUUCCUAAAGAUAGAGCUCCUAAUCUGUUGCUGACUGCCCAUUAAUCUGUUAAAGAUAUAACAGAUUUAUGUGUCCAGUAUUUUCGGGCAGGAUGUCCUGGACAUUGUAUCCGACAUCGUGGAUCCUGCAGCUUCAAUUCUUCAUUUGACAUUUUAUCUUGCCUUGUGCAUUGUGCAGCCCAAUCUGAUUCCUUGACAUAAUGUUAGACAUCAUGUGCAGCAACUCCAGCUUUCCUUCAUUGUCUAAGUGCUUAUGUUUUAACAAAAUUUUAGCCAAUCUUUUAAAACUCAGUAAAGCUAAGCACUAACAAUCUCCCCCUUUGGCAAAUUUUGUCUAAAACAUACUUAGACACUUCCUGAGCAGGUACGAGCAGUCAUGCAAGUGGGAUCAGCAACUUUCAUUAUCAGAGUAAUCAAGCACAACAGUAUCUGUAGUGGUGACAGCAAAAUUCUGCAAGUUGCAAAUCUACAAGUCUUUUCCAGGAUGUCAAGACAUCUCACGUGACAUCAGCUUUCUGCUCCCCCUGUCUCCAUGCUCUUGCUGCUGUGAAGUGAAUAUUCUGCUAGGCAGCAGUUCACUGCAGCAUCUUCUAUCAGCUACUAGUUUCAGUAGCUUACAUCAAUCAUCAUCAGCAGCAGCAGUAUAAAUACUACUCCCCCUCAAAAUCAUAAAUCAUACAUAAUAUAAUAUACUACUCCCCCUUUUUAGACAGAAUUUGGCAAAAGUAGAAUGCAUGAAAUUAAUGUGCAAAUAUUACAGACCAAUAACUAGUAAGAGUAAAAAGCAAAAAUAAAGGUCUGAUGGUCAUGGGGUGGCAUCAGAAUCAUCAUCAUCUGAUUCUGUAUCCUCUGCUGCAUCUUCUUCUUCCUCAGCUGCUUCUCCAUCAUCAACGCCAUUGUCUGAGAGUCUUUUGAUCAAGCGUUCCAGCUCCAUUUUCUUCUCUGUGUUGGCUUUGAUGGUUGCCUCCAGCACCUUGCAUGUGUCCUUGAGUUCAGCAAUCAAAUCAUCCUUGGACACAGCACCUGAAGCAGCAGCUUUCCCUGAUGUCGAGACAAUGUCUGGGACAUGUGUCCCCUCAAACAGUUUGUAAUGCAGGGAUAGAGGAGAUUCUCUCUUCUUCACAGAGUCAAUGGUGUUUAAAAUAUUGGGAUGUUGACUCAACAUGAUGCCACACAAUACAGUUGGGAAGGCAAUGGGUAAUUUGACAGCAAAAGAUUCUGAAUGCUUAAUAGUUUGAUCAAAAAUAUAGUUUCCAAAAUUAAAUUUGGACUUGGUUCCAACAGCAUACAGAAAUUUACCCAAACCUGUGGCAACAGUGGAAGUAUGAUUGGUGGGUACCCAGUUGGCAGUGCCAAUCCUAUGCAGGAUUGCAUACUUCACACUUAGUUUCCCUGCAGAAAGCUUCCCUUUCUUUGGCCAAUGCUGGAUUUGCUUGGCAGUGAUUUCCUUGGCAAUUUGAUGCUCAGAAACAGCAAUAUCCACCACUCCUUCAGUUGGUCUGCCCAGGUAUUUGUUGAUUACAGCAGGGGAGAAUCUAAUACAUUUUCCUCUGACAAACACUUUCUGAUACUCAUCACUCUUUCUGUUUGUUAUGUCAGAGGGAAUGUUGACAAUGAAUUCCCUGACUAGACUUUCAUAACAAUCUCCCAACUUGGUGACAGUUUUCAGCAGUCCAGCAGCCUUGAUGAGGUCCAUGAUCUCCUUGCAAUCCAAGGCAUCUCUUCCCAGUUCUCUUUCUAAAGCAGGUCUGCGUUGAUAUACAAAUUUCCACCUUUCAACAUUGCCAAUGGAGUGGAAUGAAAUGUUGUCCAAUGGGGCAUCAGGGACAUUUCCAGGCACCUUUUUCCCUGAUUUCUUGGCUCUCUUGAUGUCGGGAACAUCUAGUUCGACAUCAUCAUCAGAAUCAGAUGAGGAAAUUUCUUUCCUCUUCUUGGAAGGGAUUGCAACUUUGCUCCAUCUGGAUGUGGUAGGAGUGAUUGGUGUGCUCUUCUUCUGUGCAGUAGUUUUGAUUCGUCCAGACCUAGUAAUGGGGGUUUUUCCCUUUCUGCUUUGUAAUCUUUCUGCAAUGUCAGGUGCCAACUUUUUGGCAAUGGGUUCCUCAUCAUAUUCUACUUCUUCUAGGUCAAUGAGGUCACCUGGAGCAGGUUCUGGUGCCCUUGGUGCAGGGGUCUCCUCUGUGGCUUGAUCCUCUUCCUCUGUUGAUUCCUCUUCACUGGAUGAAGAGAGGACUUCAGCAUUUGGGGUGGAAGAUGUUGGGACAUCUUUAUCAGCAUCAGGGACAGAAGCAUUUUUCAAAAUGCUAUUCACAAAACUGCGGAUCUUCUUAUCCAUCUCAGUGUCUACUUCCCUAGGGCUUGUUGCAAAGCUAGGGUUUUCAGAAAUCUUCACUCCAUGUUGUCUUUUAGGGACCAGUUUCUCAGGAACAGGGCCUGGACCAGGAAUCAUUUGUAAGGGUUGGAUAUUGGGUGCAGGUUGUUCCUGGUUUGAUGGAGUUUUGGAGGAUGAUGGAGAUGAUGGUACAGAGGGUGAAACAGGGCAUGAUGGGGUUUCUUUUGGUGAGGUAGCCAUGGAGAAGCAGAGCUUUUGGAGUGGUUUCGUGAAUAUCUGAGAAGUAUUGGGAAAUGCUGAUGAAAACGAGAUUGCCACGAAAAUGUAAGUUUGAAUGAGGAAUGUAGGGGGUCGUGUGAAACGAAGGUUGAAUUUGUUUUGGCACAGUAGUGAACGUGCUAUUAAUGUUGAGUGAGAAGUUUGAGCACGUUCAGAUAGAAGUAAUUGCUAUAACUCCUCUAGCAGACAAAUGCCCAGCUUGCCCCUCAGUUUUUCAAACUGAUUUGUAUCCAAUGCCUUUGUGAAAAUAUCUGCUACUUGUUCCUCAGUGGCAACAUGCUCCAGUGUGAUAACUUUAUCAUCAACAAGAUCUCUGAUAUAGUGAUGUCUAAUGUCAAUGUGCUUGGUUCUGCUGUGUUGAACAGGAUUUUUAGAAAUAUUAAUAGCACUCAUGUUGUCACAGUACAAUGUCAUGACAUCUUGUUCGACAUUGUACUCCUUCAGCAUCUGCUUCAUCCAAACUAGUUGUGAACAGCUGCUUCCUGCUGCAAUAUACUCUGCUUCUGCAGUAGAUAGGGACACACAGUUCUGCUUCUUGCUGAACCAUGAAAUAAGAUUGUUUCCCAAAUAGAAACAUCCACCAGAAGUGCUUUUUCUGUCAUCUGCACUUCCAGCCCAAUCAGCAUCACAAUAUCCAACCAGCAUUGAAUCUGAACAAUGACAGUACAUAAUCCCAUAGUCACUGGUGCCAUUUACAUAUUUCAGAAUUCUCUUUACUUGAUUCAAGUGACUUAUCUUGGGAUUGGCUUGAUAUCUUGCACAAACACCUACUGCAAAGGUGAUGUCAGGUCUGCUUGCUGUUAAAUAUAGUAAGCUCCCAAUCAUGCUUCUGUACAGACUUUGAUCAACACUGGUGCCAGCUUCAUCCUUUGACAGCUUCAAGUGAGUAGGUGCAGGUGUUCUUUUAUGGCUGGCAUUUUCCAUUCCAAACUUCUUGACAAUGUUCUUUGCAUACUUGCUUUGUGAUAGGAAUAUGGAGUCUUCCAUCUGCUUCACUUGGAGUCCCAGAAAAUAAGUCAGCUCUCCAACAAGACUCAUCUCGAAUUCAGAUUGCAUCUGUUGGACAAAAUGUCGAAGCAUCUCAUUCGACAUCCCUCCAAACACAAUGUCAUCAACAUAUAUCUGUGCUAUCAUCAAGUUUUCAGCAUCUUGUUUAACAAAGAGAGUCUUGUCAAUUCCUCCCUUCCUAUACCCUUGCUGAGUAAGGAACUUUGUUAGCCUUUCAUACCAAGCUCUUGGAGCUUGCUUCAAUCCAUAGAGAGCCUUCUUGAGCCUGUAUACAUGAUCUGGAUGAGUUGGAUCUGCAAAUCCCUUUGGCUGCUCCACAUAGACUUCUUCAUUCAGGUAUCCAUUCAGAAAUGCGCUCUUCACAUCCAUCUGGUACAGCUUGAAUUUGAGGAUGCAAGCUACACCAAGUAAUAGUCUGAUGGACUCAAGUCUAGCAACAGGGGCGAAAGUUUCAUCAAAGUCUACACCUUCAAUCUGAGUGUAGCCUUGAGCAACAAGUCUGGCCUUGUUUCUGGUUAUAACACCUUCUUCAUUGGUUUUGUUCUUGAAGAUCCACUUGGUGCCAAUCACAUUAGUUCCCUCGGGUCUAGGAACUAGCUCCCAAACUUCAUUCCUUUUGAAUUGCUCCAAUUCUUCUUGCAUAGCAUUGAUCCAGAACUCAUCAGUCAGUGCCUCUUUCACAUUCUUUGGCUCAGUUUUGGAGACAAAGCAUGAAUUGGAGACAAUCUCAAACUCCCUUGAUCUUGUAGUGACUCCUCUGUUUGGAUCUCCUAUAAUCAGCUCCUUGGGGUGCAUCUUCUGGAUUCUAAUGGAAGGACUCUUGUCAGGUUGAUUGAUGUUUGGUUCAUCUGUAGCAGAAUCAGAGUUUUCUGCAUUUUCUGCAUUUUCUGCACUUUUAGCUGUAUCUGCUACAUUGUCUCCCGAUGUUCUGACAUCGUCUUCGACAUCCUUCUUUCUUGCUGGAGUUAGAUCAUCAACAACCACAUUGAUGGAUUCCAUCACAGUUCUGGUUCUGGAAUUGAAUACUCUAUAUGCUCUGCUGUUUGUAGAGUAUCCCAAGAAUAUUCCUGCAUCACUCUUUGGAUCCAUCUUUCUCCUUUGCUCUCUAUCUGCCAAAAUGUAACAUGGACUUCCAAAGAUGUGGAAGUGCUUGACAGUUGGCUUCCUCCCUUUCCAGAUUUCAUACAGUGUGGUUGGAGUCCCUCUUCUAAGUGUGACUCUGUUGUGGAUAUAGCAUGCUGUGUUCAUGGCUUCAGCCCAGAGAUUAUAGGGAAGUUCUUUGGCAUGAAGCAUAACCCUAGCAGCUUCUUGCAAAGUCCUGUUUUUCUUUUCAACUAUGCCAUUUUGUUGUGGUGUGAUGGCUGCAGAGAACUCAUGAGUGAUGCCUUCAGAUGUGCAGAAUUCAGUAACCUUGUUGUUUUCAAACUCUCUGCCAUGGUCACUCCUAAUUCUCUUGAUGACACAGUCUUUUUCUCUUUGAAGUCUUAGACUCAACUCUUUGAACACUUCAAAGGUGUCUGAUUUCUCUCUGAUAAAGUUGACCCAGGUAAAUCUGGAGAAAUCAUCCACAACAACAUAGGCAUACCUCUUUCCUCCAAGGCUUUCAACUUGCAUAGGCCCCAUCAAGUCCAUGUGAAGUAGUUCCAGCACCCUGGAAGUGGUCUGAUGUUGAAGCUUCUGGUGGGACAUCUUGACUUGCUUUCCAAUCUGACAUUCACCACAGAUUCUGCCUUCUUCUAUUUUCAGAUUGGGAAUGCCUCUAACAACACCUUUGUCAAUGAUUUUCUUCAUGCCUCUUAAGUGCAGAUGUCCAAAUCUUUGAUGCCAUAUUUUGACUUCAUCUUCUUUGGAGGAUGGACAUGUGGAGGAGUAACUGGUUUCUUGAGGUGUCCAUAGGUAACAGUUGUCCUUUGAUCUGUUGCCCUUCAUUAGAACUUCACUCUUCUCAUUUGUCACCAAGCAUUCUGACUUUGUGAAGUUUACAUUGAAUCCUUCAUCACACAACUGACUGAUGCUGAUCAAGUUUGCAGUCAGUCCCUUCACCAGCAGUACUUUGUUCAAACUAGGAAGUCCAUCAUGGACUAGCUUUCCCAUUCCAGUGAUCUUUCCUUUAGAGCCAUCUCCAAAUGUCACAUAGCUAGUGGAGCAAGGUUCAAUGUUCACCAGGAAUUCUUUAACUCCUGUCAUGUGUCUGGAACAGCCGCUAUCUAGGUACCAAUCUUCCUUAGCUGAUGCUCUAAGUGAAGUAUGAACAACAAGACUAACAAUCUUGUGUUUUGGAACCCACAUCAUCUUCCUUCCGCUGCUGCUACUUUGAGUUCCAUGACGUGGAUGGCCAUGUAGAUGAUAGCAAAAGGGCUUUAUGUGACCAUACUUGCCACAGUAGUGACACCUCCACUUCUUUCUUUUGCUCUUUUUCUGCUGCGUUCCAUGAUGUCGAGACCGAUGUUGUGACAUCGUGGCUCCAGUGCUGUUUUUGGCAGGAACAAAUUCUGUCAUGGUUGUUCUGCCAGCAGAUUUAUGAUUAAAUCCAAGUCCUCUCUGGUUUCCAACAUUCUUCCCAAGCUGUAGCACCUCAUCAAGCAUAUCUGAGCCUUUAUUCAGCAUCUUUAUUGAUUUUGUCAUGUUUUCCAGUUUAGAGUUCAGAAAACCAAUUUCUCCUUUAAGCUCAGAGAUCUCCUCUUCAUGUGCCUCCUUCUCAGCCUCUAGAUUUGCAAUGAUCUUCUUCAGUUGUGCUUCUUGCUGAAGAAUCUUCUCACUUUUGAUGCAUAGUUCUCUAUAGGAUAUAGCAAGCUCAUCAAAAGUGAUUUCAACAUCAAUAUCACUUGAAUCUUCAUCAGAUUCAAAUAUCCCAGUGAGUGCAUUCACAUCUCUGUCAGAAUCACUUUCUUGUUCACUCUCUGCAUCAUCAGACCAACAUACAGAAAGUCCUUUCCUCUGCUUCUUGAGAUGGGUGGGACAUUCAGCUUUGAUGUGUCCAUAGCCUUCACACCCAUGGCAUUGAAUUCCUUUGCUGGGCUUUUCAUCUGACUUCUUCUGGUGUUCACUACCUUUCCUGAUGUCGAAAGGGAUGUUCCGGACAUGUGGUUUCUGCCUCCUGUCCAUUCUUUUCAGCACUUUGUUGAAAUGUUUUCCAAGGAGCACAACUGCGUUAGUCAGACCUUCAUCAGUAUCCAGGUCAUACUCAUCUUCUUCUCCUUCAUCAUUGGACACGAACGCUAGGUUCUUGUUCUUCUUUUUAGUCCUAUCCGAGAGUCCUAGCUCAAAGGUUUGAAGGGAACCAAUGAGUUCAUCUACUCUCAUGUUGCAAAUGUCUUGGGCCUCCUCUAUUGCAGUGACUUUCAUGUCAAAUCUCUUAGGCAAAGAUCUGAGGAUCUUUCUCACCAGCUUUUCAUCUGUCAUCCUUUCUCCCAAGGCAGUGCAAGCAUUGGCAAUUUCAAGAAUGUUCAUGUGGAAGUCAUGAAUGCAUUCUUCCUCCUUCAUCUUCAGAUUUUCGAAUUUUGUAGCCAAUAGUUGCAAUCUGGACAUCUUCACUUUGGAGGUUCCUUCAUGAGUGGUUUUCAGAAUCUCCCAUGCAUCCUUGGCAACUGUGCAUGUGUUGAUCAAUCUGAAGAUAUUCUUGUCAACUCCAUUGAAUAGGACAUUCAAGGCUUUGGAGUUUCCAAGUGCCAAUUCGUCUUCUUCUUUUGUCCAGUCUUCUUCUGGCUUCAAUUCAUCAGUGGGCUUCCCUUCUGUGUCCAGCAUCUUGGGAUGUUCCCAGCCUUUGAUGACAGCUUUCCAGGUUCUGCUAUCCAGUGAUUUGAGGAAGGCCACCAUCCUUGCUUUCCAGUAUUCAUAGUUGGUUCCAUCCAGAAUUGGUGGUCUGUUCACUGGUACUCCUUCUUUCUCCAUGUUCAUCAGAAUUUAUCUCCCUAGAUCUCACUCAGUGAUUUAGAGUGCCUGCUCUGAUACCAAUUGAAAUUCUGAUACUGAGGACAGAUGUCGUACAGGAUGUCACGACAUCGCGCUUCAGAACAUGCAGAUUGUCUAUGACAGUAUGAACAGAUUAAACAAGUAAAUAACACAAGAGAAUUGUUAACCCAGUUCGGUGCAACGUCACCUACAUCUGGGGGCUACCAAGCCAGGGAGGAAGUCCACUAAAAUAGUAUUAGUUCGAAGAUCUAACAGCCACUGUAUACAACCUUCUCACCUAACCACUACCCAUGCAACUUCUACCUAAGAGCCACUCUUAGAUAUGAGAACCCCUCUCACUCCCUCUCAAUCACUCACCCGUGUUUACAAACAAAUCAAGAACACACCAGAGAUUGCUCUCUGAACAAUAGAGAUCAACUCUACACACUCAGGUCCAACACUUGAUGUUAGGGUAACAUCAAGGUGGCUCACAAAACACUCAAGUCACAAAACUCACAAAAUAACUCUUCAAUCUCUAACUUCAUUAAAAACCCGUGCAGCCUUCAUGUUUAUAUAGCAGUGUACGUAUCUGGGCUGCAACAACUUGCGCUGGAUAAGCUCUAUUAUUCUCCUGAAAAAUCUGCACUUAAAGAUCUAAAAGAUAAAGUUUUAUCUUUUAGUUUUUAUCUUCAAUCUCUAAUCCCUGAACGAAACUAUUCAAGUUUGUAAUUCAAUCUUUAAUUAUCUUUUAAUUCGUUCCUAAAGAUAGAGCUCCUAAUCUGUUGCUGACUGCCCAUUAAUCUGUUAAAGAUAUAACAGAUUUAUGUGUCCAGUAUUUUCGGGCAGGAUGUCCUGGACAUUGUAUCCGACAUCGUGGAUCCUGCAGCUUCAAUUCUUCAUUUGACAUUUUAUCUUGCCUUGUGCAUUGUGCAGCCCAAUCUGAUUCCUUGACAUAAUGUUAGACAUCAUGUGCAGCAACUCCAGCUUUCCUUCAUUGUCUAAGUGCUUAUGUUUUAACAAAAUUUUAGCCAAUCUUUUAAAACUCAGUAAAGCUAAGCACUAACAAGUAAGAUAAGCAUUCAUCCUUAUCCACCUAUAGAAAAUGUUAUACUUGUUAAAGGGCUGGAACAUAAUGUACUUAGAAUAAGUUAAUUAUGUGAUAAUGGACAUAAUGUUUCCUUCGACAAAGAGGGGUAUGUUGUCCAAAACAAUGGUGGCAUCUUACCAUUUUCUGCUAUACAAAAUGUAACUUGCUAACUAACCUUAAAAGAAAAUCACUUUGUAUGGCACAAGAAGCUUAAACAUGCUAGUUUUAGUCAAGGUACAAAAGCAUGACCUCACGAGAGGAUUACCAAGGCUCUCAUACAAAGAUGAUUUACUUUGUGAGAUGUGUCAAAAGGGGAAACAAGUCAAAAACUCAUUCUCAACUUCUAAAACACCUUAUCAAAAUGGUGUAGUUAAAAGGAAGAAUAAAUCAUUCAGUCAAGUCAGAAAAGAAAAAACACCAAUGAUAGUCUAGCAUUUUCCGAUUUUUCAGGAAAGCAGAUUGGGGCUCACCAAUGAUAGUCUCAAGAACAGGUGCAAUCCGACAGGCCAUGCACCACCAUCCUAAACACUAUUCAAAUUCUCUGUUCUCUCUCCUAGGGCGUGCACGUUAACCUCUUCGUGGUUCAGCAUCUCUCCCUCUUUGGGCGAUUUCCAAUGGCCUGGCCAUCGUUGGAGAGGUGCAUUUCUGAACUUCUGUGGACGCUGGUGGUGCCUCAACCACUUCUUCGUCACACAAGAAAUGGCUUCCAUCGUUUUCUGUCGGAGCACUCAAUAAGAGAGUUUCGGGUAAGGACCCUAUCUCUUCUACUACUGUUGUAGUUGGGGUCGCUGGUGAAGGUCAAGGAGCUCAUGCUUCUAGCUCUACCACUGCACACCAAGUGUUCGACAAUAGGCCUAAGUCAAAUUCUGAAGUAGCAAAAGUGAAUGCAGCCUAGGUGUUUGAUAUAUUGUCUGACUGUAGGAGAAAGGCUGUCUUUUCCCCAGAGGACUCUUAUACUCUAGGGGAGGAUGAUACCUCUUCAGAUGAGGAAUCCUCUUCAUCCAUCCAGUGACUCCGAAUUGGUACCUCCAACUGCAAAUACAGAGGCAACAAAACCCUGGGUUAACCUGUUCAAGGAUAACAGGAAACCCUCCAAGGGGUUUGGAUUGCAAUUUUCUCCUCCCUCAGCUGAAGAAGUAAUGUUGGAUGAUUCAGACUUACAACCACUGGAGGAGGCUUGGGGCCAUAGCCUUAUUGGCUAUGUAGCUGGCAGAUUUCCGGGGAAAAAGGCUCUUAUGGAAUGCUGCCAGAAAUGGGGUGUGAAUUUUUCAUAUUCAACCCAUGAGAGUGGCUGGUUGGUAUUCCGAUUUCAGAAUGAAGAGGAUAUGAACCAAGUCAUAUCUGCAGGACCAUACUUCAUUUUCCAAAGACCCCUGUUAUUGAAGGUAAUGCCUCCCUUUUUUGAUUUUGGAAACGAGGAGCUUAGCAAGAUCCCAGUGUGGGUAAAGCUCAGAAAUCUGUCCCUUGAGCUGUGGAAUCCCCAGGCUCUAGGAAAGAUUCUUUCCAAAGUUGGUCUGCCCAUCCGUACGGACCAGCUGACUGCCUCUAAAGGCUCUAUAUCAUUUGCCCGCGCACUAGUGGAGGUGGAUGCUUCUAUGGACCUCAUUGAAGAGGUCCGCUUUAGACUCCCAAAUGGUAAGGUCUUCACUCAGAAAGUUGAAUUUGAAAAUAGGCCCACAUUCUGAAAGCACUGCAAAAUGAUUGGGCACCGUUUAGCCAAUUGUAAAGCUGUGCCUGGAGCUAAAAUUGAUCCUGCCGUAGUUAGCACCCCUGUGGUUCAAUCACAAGUGGUUGGCCCAGCAGAUCUUGAUGUGACCAGAAUCCUUAAUAGCCCUGGAAGUCAAAAGGUUGUUCAACCUAACCAUAACUGGUUGCAAAGGGCCCGGUCAAGCUUGCUCCAGACUCUGUCAUUGGUCCAAGUAUAGAUAGGACCAUGACUGUUCAAGCUACCUAGACCAAGGUCAGAGUAGCAGUCCACAAAGUCCUGAAUCUCGUAGGAAGUUGGCUCUGCUCCAUUGAAUCUGUCUGAUGGAGAGAGGAUAGUGUUGAAAUCUCUAGUGAGGAGCCAGGGGCAAUCCAUGGUGGCAUUAAUCUUGUUCAGACUUACCCAUAAGGACCUUCUGGCCACAACAGAAUGCAGCCCAUAAAUAAAUGAAGCUUGUAGCCGCUUACCAGAAAUUUUACAGUGGAUUGCACAAUGAAUCAACUGGGCAUUUGAUUCUGAAACUGAGAGAUCAACUUUUGUCCGGUUCCACAAGAUGAGAAUUCUGCCCGCAUGAUGGGAUGAGAAGUUGUGGAUAAAAUUCCAAUCACCAAAAUUUCUUUGCAUAAUUUCAGUAACUGAAGCAUAAUUCAAUUUCGUUUCCAAGAUAGCCAUUACAGUCACCUUACUACGAAGGAAAUUUUGCAUCGCUUGAUGCUUCAGAGGCAGGUUAAAGCCCCUGAUAUUCCAGGAAGCAAUAAUCAUAGUUGUGGGCGGGAGGAAGCCUCCCCUGUCCUACUGCCAGAUUUUUGUGGUCUCCCAGUCUUAGCAUCUAAUUGCAUCUCAUCAACUCGUGCUGGCUUCUGGGAAGGCACCUUUUUUAUUUUCUUUUGAGUUUUGGUUUUAACCUGAAUAAAACCCUCCUCGUCAGGCUCAUAUCUAGCACCACCUGCUCCUUUCAGCACAGAUGAGUGCUUAUGAACAGGAACAAAAAUAGCACCUUGAGAUUGUUGGACAUGAGGGGCAGCCAGCUGGUUAGGAUGAUCAUCUUUCUGAGUUCCAGAGCUAAUAUGGAUGCUGGCAGCAGACUGGUUAGGCUGAACCUUCUGAGUUCCAGAACUAUUAAGGAUUUUGGUCACAUCAAGAUCUGCUGGACCAACCACUUGUGAUUGAACCACAGGGGUGCUAACUAAGGCAGGGUCAUCUUUAGCUCCGGGCACAGCUUUACAAUUGGCUAAACGGUGCCCAAUCAUUUUGCAGUGCUUGCAGAAUGUGGGCCUGUUUUCAAAUUCAACUUUCUGAGUGAAGACCUUACCAUUUGGGAGUCUAAAGCGGACCUCUUCAAUGAGGUCCAUAGAAGCAUCCACCUCCACUAGAGCGCGGGCAAAAGAUAUAGAGCCUUUAGAGGCAGUCAGCUAGUCCGUACGGAUGGGCAGGCCAACUUUGGAAAGAAUCUUUCCUAGAGCUUGGGGAUUCCACAGCUCAAGGGGCAAAUUUCUGAGCUUUACCCACACAGGGAUCUUGUUGAGCUCCUCGUUUCCAAAAUCAAAAAAGGGAGGCAUUACCUUCAAUAACAGGGGUCUUUGGAAAAUGAAGUAUGGUCCUGCAGAUAUGACUUGGUUCAUAUCCUCUUCAUUCUGAAAUCGGAAUACCAACCAGCCACUCUCAUGGGUUGAAUAUGAAAAAUUCACACCCCAUUUCUGGCAGCAUUCCAUAAGAGCCUUUUUCCUCGGAAAUCUGCCAGCUACAUAGCCAAUAAGGCUAUAGCCCCAAGCCUCCUCCAGUGGUUGUAAGUCUGAAUCAUCCAACAGUACUUCUUCAGCUGAGGGAGGAGAAAAUUGCAAUCCAAACCCCUUGGAGGGUUUCCUGUUAUCCUUGAACAGGUUAACCCAGGGUUUUGUUGCCUCUGUAUUUGCAGUUGGAGGUACCAAUUCGGAGUCACUGGAUGGAUGAAGAGGAUUCCUCAUCUGAAGAGGUAUCAUCCUCCCCUAGAGUAUAAGAGUCCUCUGGGGAAAAGACAGUCUUUCUCCUACAGUCAGACAAUAUAUCAAACACCUGGGCUGCAUUCACUUUUGCUACUUAAGAAUUUGACUUAGGCCUAUUGUCGAACACUUGGUGUGCAGUGGUAGAGCUAGAAGCAUGAGCUCCUUGACCUUCACCAGCGACCCCAACUACAACAGUAGUAGAAGAGAUAGGGUCCUUACCCGAACCUACCACUGCUGCGCAACUUGGCUUAGACAUUUUUCCAAACACUUGGUGUGCAGUGUUUGUUUUGUCUUGGUGUUAGAACAAGAAACUCGCACACCCUGGCUUUCUCCCUCAGACCCUGUUACAACUGCAAUAGAAGGAAUCGAAGCAUUUCCUGCAGCUACAACUCCCCCCAUUAGAGCAGGUUGGUUGGGAGUUGUUUUCUGUCCCUUACUUUUCCCCAUUAGAAGCUAACCUUAGUUCUGAAAAUAGCAUCAGAAGGAGGAACACAGGAUUGUUCGGUGACCAGAAGAGAGUAGGCAGAAACUCUCUUAUUGAGUGCUCCGACAGAAAACGAUGGAAGCCAUUUCUUGUGUGACGAAGAAGUGGUUGAGGCACCACCAGCGUCCACAGUAGUUCGGACAAACACCUCUCCAACGAUGGCCAGGCCACUGGAAAUCGCCCAAGGAGGGAGAGAUGCUGAACCACGAAGAGGUUAACGUGCGCGCCCUAGGAGAGAGAACAGAGAAUUUGAAUAGUGUUUAGGAUGGUGGUGCAUGGCCUGUCGGAUUGCACCUGUUCUUGAGACUAUCAUUGGUGAGCCCCAAUCUGCUUUCCAGAAAAAUCGAAAAAUGCUAGAUAAUAUCUUCCUCAUCCAAGAGCUUUUGCGCAAGUAUGCCCGUAAAAGGGUUUCUCCCAGAUGUCUGUUGAAGAUUGAUUUGCACAAGGCUUACGACUCCAUUUCUUGGGACUUCUUGGAAUGGAUGCUUAAGUCCACUGGUUUUCCACAUCAGUUCUGUGCUUGGAUUAUGGAGUGUGUCUCUACUACCUCAUUCAGUAUUGCGAUCAAUGGAGCUAUUUUUGGCCACUUCAGAGGGCAGAGGGGCCUUAGACAAGGGGAUCCCCUUUCUCCUUAUCUAUUUGUCUUGUGCUUGGAAUACUUCUCCAGAGACAUGCAAAGCCUCAAAGACGAUGUAAACUUUCAGUUUCACCCACAGUGUGCAGCCUUACAGAUCUCCCACUUAGCAUUCGCGGAUGACAUUAUGCUUCCUUCCAAAGGGGAUGUGCAUUCAGUAUCUGCAAUGCUUACCAAGCUGCAGCACUUUUGCAGUGUAUCUGGGCUCUCCAUCAGUGCAAACAAAUCUGCCUUUUAUUCAGCAGGUUUAAGGCCAGAUACUUGUUCUGAAAUUCAGCAGCUCACGGGUUUCAGUCCUGGCAUUUUCCCCUUUAGAUAUUUGGGAGUUCCUCUCUUAUCUUCUCGGCUAAAUGUCUGCCACUAUGCCCCUUUGAUUGCCCAGAUCACCUGCCUCAUGCAAGGUUGGAACAGAAAAUCGCUCUCUUAUGCUGGAAAAGUGGACCUUAUUAGAGCUGUUAUCCAGGGCAUUGCUAACUUCUGGAUGGGUGUUUUCCCCCUCUGCCCCAAUCCGUUUUAGACAGAAUUAAUGCCUCCUGCCGCAACUUCCUGUGGGGUAAGGCGGAUUCCAGUAAAAUCAAGCCUUUGGUGGCAUGGACAGACAUCUGUUUGCCUAAGAGGGAGGGAGGUCUUGGCCUGUUCAAUCUUAAGGAGUGGAAUACUGCCCUCCUAUCUCGCAUUCUGUGGGACUUGCACUCGAAGAAGGACUCCCUGUGGGUCCGUUGGGUUCAUAUCUAUUAUUUCAAUGGAGGUGAUGUUUGGGACUUUAACAGCUCUCCAUCUGACUCUGUUUUAAUUAAGAAGAUUAUUCACAUCAGGGGCAUCAUUACCAACAGAGAAGGUAAUAUUGAGGCUGCAAAGCAGAUGUUGCACUCCUGGAGCAAUAAUGAUAUUUUACUUGUAGGUAAAGCAUAUGACUACUUUAGAGAAAUCAGACCUGCAGUUAACUGGAGUUCUGUCAUCUGGAAUCCAGCUAUACCUCCGAAGAUGUCAUUUAUCCUUUGGCUGGCUAAGAAGAAUCACUUACUGACUCUUGAUAGGGCUCCCUUCCUCAACAAAGGAGUCCUCUGCCCACUCUGCUCACGGGAGGCUAAGUCCCAUGCUCACUUAUUUUUUUCUUGUUGCAGGGCUAUCCGAGUUUGGAAGCACAUUAGAGAUUGCUUUCCUUUUCCCAGGCAAACCACUUCCCUACAAAGCACCAUCAGUCAUCUCAUCCGGGGCAGAAGCACCUCUGGUAUUCAAGGUGGACUUCGCUGUUUGGCUUUGGCUACAACCGUGUAUAGUAUCUAGAUGGCCAGAAACAAGUUACUUUUUGAGAAUUGUCAUUUUUCAGUUAACGAUGUAAUUAGUAAAACUAUGUUUCUUGUUUAUAGGCAGUCACAUAUUCUGCAGCUGUUUUAAGGCUUGACUAGGGUCUGCUUCAUUUAGUGGAUCCUGUAUUUUGUCUGCGGGGAAUGCCCUGUUCAUUGAUGUAUUAUUUUGGGUUAAUAUAAUUUACAUUUUUCCCAAAAAAAAAAGAAAUGACAAGGAUCAUGCUCAAUGAUAAUUCUACAACUAAGAACUUUUGGGCUAAAGCAAUGAAUAUUGCCCAUGUUAUUUACAAAACAAAAAUCACAUAAGACCCGGUCUACAAACUUCAUGAGUUGUGGAAAGGACAAAAAAGCCCAACAUUUCAUACUUUCAUCCCUUUGCAUGUCAAUGUUUCAUUGUUAACACUAAAGCCAACUCCGAAUAAGUUUGAUACUAAGUGUGACAAUGGAAUAUUACUUGGAUACUCUAAAACAUCAAUGGCCUAUAGAAUCUUAGAAGCUAUCCAUGUGAAGUAUAGAAAUAUGAUAGUUAAGAUUGAAUGAUGACAUUGGACCCUCACAAUAACAUAUCAACCAACAAAAAGCAGACACAUCCAACAAUCAUCUAUGACCCCUCAACCAUGGUCCAAAUAAGAGCAUCUCUUAGAAAUGAAGGUCACACCACACUAAUCUCUAAAGUUGUACCUAAACACAUUAAUAAUGCUAUGGAGGACGAACACUCAUGAUGGCCAUGCAAGAAGAACUUGAUCAAUUCCAAAAGAACAAUGUUUGGAAGGUUGUGCAACUACCCAAAGGUAAGGACACUAGGUGCAAAAUGGGUAUUUAAAAAAGUCCAACAACUAAAGUUAGAUAACCUUUUGUUGAUUGCCAAAGUUUUCUUUCGCUCAUUAGACAUAAUUUCUUGUUUUCGUACAAACAAUCUGACGAGUACAGCUACAAAUAUAAGCGUACAUCACACAUAAUCCCAUGUCUUCGUUCAAACAAACCGAGAUAGUGCAGCUAGAAAUAUAAACCUACAACUAGUUAUGAAAGGAGAAAGGAGCUUAAAAGAAAUUCAGAUACAGCAUAGUUGCAAAAUGUAAACAACCUUUCAACGAAACAAUAUGAUUACCUCAACUUAAAAUUGCUCUCGAAAACCUUUUGAAACCGUGAUGCAAUUUUUUAAGCCAACAAAAAUAAUUCCCGCCCUAUGGAAGUGGGAAAAAAAAUAUUGGUCUAAAAGGUGUGACGCAGACGCAUUUACAAAAUAAAAAAUCUUUUAAUUAGGGUUUGAAGGUGAGAAAUAAGUGUAAUUUUUUUUUCUCUAUCCAAAUCUUAUUUUUGUAUACACAUUUAUAAAUAUUUAUUUCAAAUCUUAUAAAUGUAUGAAUCUUUCAAAAUCUGUUAAAUUGUUAGGAUAUAAAUAUGUUAAAAUUCAAAUUAAAAAAAAUGUUAAUCAUAAAAAUCUUUUAAAAGAAUUUGAUAAAUCAUAAUAUUUAUACAUUCUUUUAAAAUCCAGAAGACUUUUUAUCUGAAAAAAAUAGUGUUUCAAAAUUCCAAUCCAAUACACCCAUAAAAUAGCAAUUAGUUAUGACUACUCAAUGGCAUAUAUAUAUUGCUAUCAUAUGAUGAAAAGUAAAAAAUCAUAAUGGUUAUAUUGAUGUUGUCAUAAGCAAGCAAGCAUUUUAUUAAAAAUGCUGUCAGUGAUUAUGUAUAUUUAAGGCAUAUUAAUUUUAGCCAAGUAAAUUUUACUAUUAAUUAUAGACAAACAAAUUUUCAAGAGGCUCUUCGUUAUGCGAAGGUAUGGGGGAGGGAUGUUGUACGCAGCCUUACCCUUGUAUAUGCAAAGAGGCUGUUUCCGGAUUCGAACCCAUGACCAACAAGUCACCAAAGCACAACUUUACCGCUGCACCAGGGCUCGCCCUCAUGAACACAAACAACUAAAACAAAAAAAUACAAAAGUAGCAGGGUCAUUUAGAAAGUUUAUUCAUUUAUUUUUUUUAUUAGUAAUUUUUUGUUCAUCAUGCCAUAUAGCUAGAGAAUGGAUAAUAAAAUGAAGCUAUUAUGAUGUUAUGAAUCACAAU